AUUUCCAAUUUUUCCAAAUCGAGGCACCAAUCACAGCCGUUACACUAUGAAUUACGCCCAGAGGCAUUUGAGCGGCAUCCAUUGGUGACGCCCCUUUGGAAAUAGGCUGUGAAUUAACCUUCCCCCGACCCAUUCUUAGU